rnacentral:rRNA from 1 species
GAUGAACGCUGGCGGCGUGCCUAACACAUGCAAGUCGAACGGACGGACGAUAAGCUUGUGGUUUUCAUGUUUGCGGCGGGCGGGUGUGUCACGCGUGUAUCACCUACUUAUAUUUCGGGGAUAAUCACGGAAAUCCGGAUCUAAUACCAGAGAAUAUUCUGAACCGUAGGGGUCAAAGGAGAAUUACGGCCUUUGUGUCUGUAAUAGCUGCUUCCGCGCUGCAUGAGCUAGUUGGUAAGGUAACGGCCUACCAAGGCGACGAUGCGUGGCCGACCUGAGAGGGUGGUCGGCCACACUGGAACUGAGACACGGUCCAGACUACUACGGGAGGCAGCAGUGGGGAAUAGUGGGCAAUGGGCGGAAGCCUGACACAGCCACGCCGAGUGGGUGAAGGAGGCCUUCGGGUCGGAAAGCCCUGUUGUUGGGGAAGAACAUAUGUGGAAGUAAAUGUGGACAGCUUGACGGUACCUAAUAAGAAAGCACCGGCUAACUACGUG